AGGCGGUGUAAAAAGACGUGUGUGUGUGUGUGUGUGUGCGUGAGAGAGAGAGAGAGAGAGAGAGAGAGACUCACUGUAAAUUGCCAGUAUUUUUUAUAUGCGCUUUAUUUAUAUUCUCUCCUCUCCAUGUUUGUAUUCGGACACUCAGUGUUAUAAGUAAUGUUUGUUAAUCACAGUUCUGUUCCAUGGAAUGCUUUGGGAAUUCUCUACAUGUUUACGGUCACGCCAGUGAAGCUUACUGAACUGAACUGAGCUCAAGACCAGCAGCUGGAACUCCUCCUUUCCUUCUCUGGAUAUCAGUUGAAAGUGAAAGUCAGCAGGUCGUUUCGGGGAAACACAUCGCAUUCUGUUGGUACCGGUUGUUUUGAAAGUACCGAAAGUACAGAGGUUGCGAUUCAUCCGAACCUGAAGGGGGCAGUAAAUACGCGCAAGUGUUUUAGUCGGUCCACAAUUGGUAAAGAAGAACAACUACGCACAAGGGGAAAAACUACAAAAGAUGGCUAUGGCGACAAAUUCAGCUGCUCCCUGUCUCGUUGAGAGGAAAAAAAGGCAAGGGUCGAAUAUGGAAAUACUUCACAUUUGAGGUGGAUAAAAACAAACAUAUAAUUGAUGCUCUGAAGCCAGUGUGCAAACGAUGCCAUCGUACACUUCAAACAAAGGGAGGAAACACCUCGAAUUUGGUGAAGCACCUGAAAGACAGGCACCCCGAUCUCUUCAAAGAAUUCAAGUAUCAGCCAGAGGAGGAUGUCCACUAGGAGAGUCAGGAGCAAAGUCAACAAACAUUAACCUUAAGAGAAGCUUAAAAAGACACAAGAAAUAUGACAAAAACUCAAACGAAGCAAGGAAACUGGAUAGGGCAGUUGCUGAGUUCAUAUGCAUGGAUCAAGUUCCUGUCUACACUGUAGAAAAGCAUAGAUUCCAGCAAAUGCUUCAGCAGUUUAACACCAGAUACCAGCUACCAAGCAGAACUUACUUCAUGUACACAGAGAUCCCCAGAAUAUACACACGAAACCAGAGACCUCAUUUCAGAACAUCUCAAAGAAAAAACAUUUUAUGCCUUCAUACUUAUUAUAUAUCUAUUUUGUAAUUGUUUUUUUUAUUAUGUGACUGUUGCCACUAUUGUUUUUUAUAAUGCUCAAAUGUUUAAAUAAAGGAAUUAAUGUUUAAGUAUUUAUUUAUUUAUUUUUACACAACGUGGUAUCGACUUUGGUAUCGAGUAUCGUGUAUUUUUGCUGGUAUCUGUACCGACUACUAGAGUUUUGGUAUCGUGACAUCCCUAGUUUCUGAUCUGAGUGCAAGUGCAUUGACGAUGUCAUGUUCUGCAGAUGACAGCGGAGGUGCGUGCACUGCUGAGCACCUGAGACUUCAGGGCAGUUGACAAUGCGGCCCUAAGAACAGUGAGGGCCAAACUGUCCCUGACUAUCAAAGAGGCAAAGUGCGCAUACGGCCAGAAAAUCCAUGGUCACUUCAUGCUUAGCGGUGACUCGUGGUGCAUGUGAAAGGGCAUUCAGGCCAUCAGCAACUAUUGGACAUCACCCACCUGUGACUGUGAUAUCUCCCUUCCAGAUGCACUGUACAACCUCUACAUUCAGUUUGAGGCGCAGAAUGAGGUGGCAGCGAGGAAGACCUCCCCUCCUCCCAACAACCAAGUGCUGUGUCGAACCAUGGCUGAUGAGGAAAACUUUACGUAGAGUCAACCCACAGAAGGCUGCUGGACCAGACAACAGUCCGGGCAGACUGCUCAGAGCAUGUGCAGACCAGCUGACAGAUGUUCUCACUGACAUAUUCAACAUCUCCCCGAGCAGCACCAUCGUUCCAACAUGCUUCAAGGCUACCACCAUUGUCCCUGUGCUGAAAAAGUCUUCAGUCUUUCAUCAUCACGCAUCCAUCAUCAUGAAGUGCUUUCAGAGGCUUGUCAUGAGGCACAUCAAGACCCUGCUGACCCGCUCAGUGGACCCACUGCAGUUUGCGUAUUGCCCCAUCUGAUCCAUGGAUGAUGCCAUCGCCACCAUCCUACAGCUGGCCCUCACUCACCUGGACAAAAAGAACACCUAUGUUCAGAUGCUGUUCAUAGACUUCAGUUCAGCCUUCAACACAAUUAUUGCUCAGCACCUGAUUGGAAACCUGAACCUACUGGGCCUGAACACCUCCAUCUGCAACUUGAUCCUGGACUUCCUGACCGGUAGACCUCAGUCUGUGCGGAUUACAGGAUGCACCUGAGCUCAAUUUUGAGUGUCAUGGCAAAGGCUGUGAAUAUUAUGUGUGGUCAUUUAUUUAAUGAGGAAAAGGAUCCAAAAUUACAUAUCUGUGAGUGGCAAAGUAUGAGAACCUUUGUUUUCAGCAUGUG
ensembl:lncRNA